rnacentral:rRNA from 1 species
UCAGACGAUGCGUCAUGCAUAUCAAUAGCGGAGGAAAAGAAACUAACAAGGAUUCCCCUAGUAACGGCGAGUGAAGCGGGAAGAGCUCAAAUUUGAAAUCUUAAAGGGUUUCCCUUUACGAAUUGUAGUUUAAAGAAGUGUUUUCUGUUGAGGUUUUGGUAAAAGUUCUUUGGAAUAGGACAUCAUAGAGGGUGAGAAUCCCGUAUUUGACCUUUACUUUCAACUUUGUGAUACACUUUCAAAGAGUCGGAUUGUUUGGGAAUGCAGUCCAAAAUGGGUGGUAAAUUUCAUCUAAAGCUAAAUAUUGGCGAGAGACCGAUAGCGAACAAGUACCGUGAGGGAAAGAUGAAAAGAACUUUGAAAAGAGAGUUAAACAGUACGUGAAAUUGUCAAAAGGGAAGCGUUUGACACCAGUGUUGUUUUUCUGAAAAUCAAUUAAAGAACUGUUUAUGCUAAGCUGUUUAGACUUUAUCAGCUAAUCUGUUUAGUUUUGAGCUUUUCUUUGAUGCACUUUUCAGUUAACAAGUCAACAUCAAUUUCUUUUGCUGUAAAAAAGCUUGAGGAAGGUGGCUUGAGAUUCGUCUUAAGUGUUUAUAGCCUCUUGCCUAUGCAGUCGGAGAGAUUGAGGUCUGCAGCGUAGAUCCUUCGGGGCUAAAUGCAUUUGUGCUAAGUUAUAGCAUUUUAUAGACAACUUGUUGACUAUGAUUUGUCUUGUAGCUUACUCGCUUAUGUUAUUUUACCUACGCUUAGGAUGUUGACACACGCGCGUGCUCG